rnacentral:rRNA from 1 species
UACGUAGGGUGCAAGCGUUGUCCGGAAUUAUUGGGCGUAAAGAGCGUGUAGGCGGCCCGAUUAGUCCGCUGUGAAAGUCCAGGGCUCAACCCUGGAAUGCCGGUGGAUACUGUCGGGCUAGAGUCCGGAAGGGGCGAGUGGAAUUCCUGGUGUAGCGGUGAAAUGCGCAGAUAUCAGGAGGAACACCAAUGGCGAAGGCGGUUCUCUGGGCCUUACCUGACGCUGAGGAGCGAAAGCGUGGGGAGCGAACAGG